rnacentral:rRNA from 1 species
AGAGUUUGAUCCUGGCUCAGGACGAACGCUGGCGGCGUGGAUUAGGCAUGCAAGUCGAGCGACGAACCUUCGGGUUACGGAGCGGCGAACGGGUGAGUAACACGUGAAUAACCUACCCUCUCAUUCCGGAUAAUUGGCCGAAAGGCCUUGUAAUACGGGGGAGGUUCCAGUUUAGGCAUCUUUACUGGAACGAACAAGCAAUUGGUGCGAGGAGGGGUUCGCGGAUUAUCAGCUAGUUGGUGAGGUAACGGCUCACCAAGGCUACGACGAUUAGGUGGUCUGAGAGGAUGGUCACCCACAUUGGAACUGAGAUACUGUCCAGACUCUUACGGGAGGCUGCAGUCGAGAAUCUUGGGCAAUGCACGAAAGUGUGACCCAGCGACGCCGCGUGGAGGAUGAAGGCCCUCUGGGUUGUAAACUCCUUUUACGGGAGAAGAAUCAAUGACGGUAUCCCGUGAAUAAGCCACGGCUAACUACGUGCCAGCAGCCGCGGUAAUACGUAGGUGGCAAGCGUUGUCCGGAUUUACUGGGCGUAAAGCGAACGCAGGCGGACUGUUAAGUAGGAAGUGAAAGGUCGGAGCUCAACUCCAACAUUGCUUCCUAUACUGGCAGUCUUGAGUAGCGGAGAGGAAGGGGGAACGACACGUGUAGCGGUGAAAUGCGUUGAUAUGUGUCGGAACACCCAUGGCGAAAGCACCCUUCUGGACGCAAACUGACGCUCAGGUUCGAAAGCCAAGGUAGCGAACAGGAUUAGAUACCCUGGUAGUCUUGGCCCUAAACUAUGUUCACUAGGUGUCGGGGGGUUUCCUUCGGUGCCGCAGCUAACGCAUUAAGU